rnacentral:rRNA from 1 species
UGAGGAAUAUUGGUCAAUGGGCGUAAGCCUGAACCAACCAAGCCGCGUGAGGGAAGAAGGCCCUAUGGGUCGUAAACCUCUUUUGUCAGGGAACAAAAGCGAGUAUGUAUACUAGUCUGAGUGUACCUGAAGAAAAAGCAUCGGCUAACUCCGUGCCAGCAGCCGCGGUAAUACGGAGGAUGCGAGCGUUAUCCGGAUUUAUUGGGUUUAAAGGGUGCGUAGGCGGCGGUGCAAGUCAGCGGUAAAAGCCCGGGGCUCAACCCCGGCGAGCCGUUGAAACUGCAGUGCUAGAGAAGGCGAGAGGUACGCGGAAUGCGCAGUGUAGCGGUGAAAUGCUUAGAUAUUGCGCAGAACUCCGAUUGCGAAGGCAGCGUACUGGCGCCUGACUGACGCUGAGGCACGAAAGCGUGGGGAUCGAACAGGAUUAGAUACCC